GAUGAACGCUGGCGGCGUGCCUAAUACAUGCAAGUCGAGCGAACAGAUAAGGAGCUUGCUCCUUUGAAGUUAGUGGCGGACGGGUGAGUAACACGUGGGUAACCUACCUAUAAGACUGGGAUAACUUCGGGAAACCGGAGCUAAUACCGGAUAACAUUUAGAACCGCAUGGUUCUAAAGUGAAAGAUGGUUUUGCUAUCACUUAUAGAUGGACCCGCGCCGUAUUAGCUAGUUGGUAAGGUAACGGCUUACCAAGGCGACGAUACGUAGCCGACCUGAGAGGGUGAUCGGCCACACUGGAACUGAGACACGGUCCAGACUCCUACGGGAGGCAGCAGUAGGGAAUCUUCCGCAAUGGGCGAAAGCCUGACGGAGCAACGCCGCGUGAGUGAUGAAGGGUUUCGGCUCGUAAAACUCUGUUAUUAGGGAAGAACAAAUGUGUAAGUAACUGUGCACAUCUUGACGGUACCUAAUCAGAAAGCCACGGCUAACUACGUG
rnacentral:rRNA from 1 species